rnacentral:ncRNA from 2 species
GAGUUUCUUGGGAACUAUGACAUCAACUCUUUAUCUGGGCAUCUUAGAGUUGAUUGAGUUAGUGAUGCAACCGACCUUGAAGAAA